rnacentral:lncRNA from 1 species
AAAUACUUCUGUUUGUCUUUUGAAAUUGAUUGAUUCUCCACUGUUUUAUGCGAGGAGUGGUUCUGAGUUGGAUUGGUUCUGCUACAUAUGGGGAUUGAGAGAGGAGCAGACAGUGUAAGAAGAUCCGGCCAUAGAUUGAAUCCGGUAAGUCAUCAGAUCAAAUAUUUGUAUACUCAGACUUGAGUUGGAUUGUAUUCUUGAAGAUUUGAAUCGUUUUUGGUUAAAUGUGAUUAAUAUAGUGUAGAUGUUUAAGUUUGAAAUGUUAUUU